AUUGAACGCUGGCGGCAGGCUUAACACAUGCAAGUCGAGCGGGGUGAUGGUGCUUGCACUAUCACUUAGCGGCGGACGGGUGAGUAAUGCUUAGGAAUCUGCCUAUUAGUGGGGGACAACAUCUCGAAAGGGAUGCUAAUACCGCAUACGUCCUACGGGAGAAAGCAGGGGAUCACUUGUGACCUUGCGCUAAUAGAUGAGCCUAAGUCGGAUUAGCUAGUUGGUGGGGUAAAGGCCUACCAAGGCGACGAUCUGUAGCGGGUCUGAGAGGAUGAUCUGCCACUCUGGGACUGAGACACGGCCCAGACUCCUACGGGAGGCAGCAGUGGGGAAUAUUGGACAAUGGGGGGAACCCUGAUCCAGCCAUGCCGCGUGUGUGAAGAAGGCCUUAUGGUUGUAAAGCACUUUAAGCGAGGAGGAGGCUCUUUUGGUUAAUACCCAAGAUGAGUGGACGUUACUCGCAGAAUAAGCACCGGCUAACUCUGUGCCAGCCGCCGCGGUAA
rnacentral:rRNA from 1 species